rnacentral:misc_RNA from 1 species
GAUGAAGAACGUAGCGAAAUGCGAUAAGUAAUGUGAAUUGCAGAAUUCAGUGAAUCAUCGAAUCUUUGAACGCACAUUGCGCCCCUUGGUAUCCCGAGGGGCAUGCCUGUUCGAGCGUCAUUUCACCACUCAAGCCUGGCUUGGUGUUGGGCGACGUCCCCUUUGGGGACGCGCCUCGAAACGCUCGGCGGCGUGGCACCGGCUUUAAGCGUAGCAGAAUCUUUCGCUUUGGAAGUCGGGGCCCCGUCUGCCGGAAGACCUACUCGCAAGGUUGACCUCGGAUCAGGCAGGGAUACCCGCUGAACUUAAGCAUAUCAAUAAGCGAGGA